GGAGGGGGAUGCUCAGUGGUAGAGCACCUGCUUAGCAUGCAGGAGGUCCUGGGUUCAAGCCCCACUGCCUCCA
rnacentral:tRNA from 1 species